rnacentral:ncRNA from 1 species
UCGAUAGAGGCGCGGAAGGCAUCAGUAUCGCCGCGGAGCCCCUCCAAGGGCCAUGAAGCGGCGGGAAAGGGCCCUUCGCCGAAAUCCGGAACGGUUGGAGCCGGGCCGGGUUGGGGGAUCGCGGAACACGCGGUUCACUGUCACAACCCUCGUUGUGGAGCGCUAUCU